rnacentral:rRNA from 1 species
CCAGACUCCUACGGGAGGCAGCAGUGGGGAAUAUUGGGCAAUGGGCGCAAGCCUGACCCAGCAACGCCGCGUGAAGGAAGAAGGCUUUCGGGUUGUAAACUUCUUUUGUCAGGGACGAAGCAAGUGACGGUACCUGACGAAUAAGCCACGGCUAACUACGUGCCAGCAGCCGCGGUAAUACGUAGGUGGCAAGCGUUAUCCGGAUUUACUGGGUGUAAAGGGCGUGUAGGCGGGACUGCAAGUCAGAUGUGAAAACCACGGGCUCAACCUGUGGCCUGCAUUUGAAACUGUUGAUCUUGAGUACUGGAGAGGCAGACGGAAUUCCUAGUGUAGCGGUGAAAUGCGUAGAUAUUAGGAGGAACACCAGUGGCGAAGGCGGUCUGCUGGACAGCAACUGACGGUGAGGCGCGAAAGCGUGGGGAGCAAACAGGAUUAGAUACCCGUGUAU